rnacentral:rRNA from 1 species
GGAGGCAGCAGUAGGGAAUCUUCCGCAAUGGACGAAAGUCUGACGGAGCAACGCCGCGUGAGUGAUGAAGGUUUUCGGAUCGUAAAGCUCUGUUGUUAGGGAAGAACAAGUACCGUUCGAAUAGGGCGGUACCUUGACGGUACCUAACCAGAAAGCCACGGCUAACUACGUGCCAGCAGCCGCGGUAAUACGUAGGUGGCGAGCGUUGUCCGGAAUUAUUGGGCGUAAAGGGCUCGCAGGCGGUUUCUUAAGUCUGAUGUGAAAGCCCCCGGCUCAACCGGGGAGGGUCAUUGGAAACUGGGGAACUUGAGUGCAGAAGAGGAGAGUGGAAUUCCACGUGUAGCGGUGAAAUGCGUAGAGAUGUGGAGGAACACCAGUGGCGAAGGCGACUCUCUGGUCUGUAACUGACGCUGAGGAGCGAAAGCGUGGGGAGCGAACAGGAUUAGAUACCCUGGUAGUCCACGCAGUAAGCGUUGAGUGC